rnacentral:rRNA from 1 species
GCUUGUCUCAAAGAUUAAGCCAUGCAUGUCUAAGUAUAAAUAUCUAUACUGUGAAACUGCGUAUGGCUCAUUAAAUCAGUUAUAGUUUAUUUGAUGAUACCCCACUACAUGGAUAACCGUAGUAAUUCUAGAGCUAAUACAUGCAGGAAGACCCGACUCACGAAGGGUUGUAUUUAUUAGAUAAGAAACCUUCCCCUUUGGGUUGCGUGCCGAGUCACAAUAACUGCUCGAAUCGCAUGGCUUCACGCCGGCGAUGGUUCAUUCAAAUUUCUGCCCUAUCAGCUUUCGAUGGUAGGAUCGAGGCCUACCAUG